GGGGGUGUAGCUCAGUGGUAGAGCGCGUGCUUAGCAUGCGCGAGGCCCUGGGUUCAAUCCCCAGCACCUCCA
rnacentral:tRNA from 2 species